UAUUUCUAUUGCCUUGGGAGACUGACCUAAGAAAACACUGCUAUGAUUUAUGUUAGAGAAUGUUUUGCCUAUGUUCUAGGAGAUUUAUGGUGUCGUGUCUUAUAUUUAAGUCUUUAAUCC